GAUGAACGCUGGCGGCGUGCCUAAUACAUGCAAGUCGAGCGAACAGACGAGGAGCUUGCUCCUCUGACGUUAGCGGCGGACGGGUGAGUAACACGUGGAUAACCUACCUAUAAGACUGGGAUAACUUCGGGAAACCGGAGCUAAUACCGGAUAAUAUAUUAAACCGCAUGGUUCAAUAUGGAAGAACGGUUUUGCGUUCACUUUUAAUUGGAUCCCCGCCGCAUUAGCUAGUUGGUAAGGUAACGGCUUACCAAGGCAACGAUGCGUAGCCGACCUGAGAGGGUGAUCGGCCACACUGGAACUGAGACACGGUCCAGACUCCUACGGGAGGCAGCAGUAGGGAAUCUUCCGCAAUGGGCGAAAGCCUGACGGAGCAACGCCGCGUGAGUGAUGAAGGUCUUCGGAUCGUAAAACUCUGUUAUUAGGGAAGAACAAAUGUGUAAGUAACUAUGCACGUCUUGACGGUACCUAAUCAGAAAGCCACGGCUAACUACGUG
rnacentral:rRNA from 1 species